rnacentral:lncRNA from 1 species
AUGGCGGCCGGCAGCGCCGGCGGCCUGGCGCGGCUCGGCGACGGCCGGCAGGUAACGGGCCGCGGGCAGAACCCGGGCCCCGCCGCAACGCUGCUGCCGCCCGCCCCUCUCCGCCUCCGGGGCCGGCCCCGCCCGGCCGCGGCGCCCCCAGCCCGGCCCUCGGGGUGGGUAAAAUGGCGGCGGCGCGGCCCGGGGCUGGGCGGCCCGCAGGGGGCUGAGCGCCUGCUGCUGCUCCGGCCUCGGCGCCGCGGCCUCGGGGCUCUGCCCGCCCGCCCGCAGGGGGUGCUCCGGCUGCCCUGGGGUGCUCCGGCUGCCCUGGGGUGCUGCCCUUCCCUUGUGAAGUGGCGCCGAGAUGAAAGGUGUCCUGUUAUGAACAACAAACAUCUGCAAGCAACUGUGAGAGCAAGCAGUACUACCAGCCAGCACCUGCCUGUUCAGCUGCAACAUCCUGCUAGCGAUUCAUACUCCCCACCAACUUACGAAGGUAAAGAAGGAUGUGGGAUGUAUUCCAGAAGCUUUCACCUUUACCCUUUACCAAUCAGAAUCAUGAUGUGUGCCAUCAUUUAUCCUCAGAAGAGCUAGAGAGGUUAGUUUGAGCCUCUCUUAAAAAUUCUUCCAGAUUUGUGAUACCAAUUUGGAUUUUGUUUGGUCUUUUUCUUCUCUGAGAUGGGAAAGUAAGGCUUGGAAUUAAACUCUGAAUUCAGAAGCUGAAUACAAAGCGCUGCCCCUGGUUUUCACAAACCUCACAGUUUACGUUAUUCAGAACAUGAGAUUAUCAAGUUGAUACCAUGAAAAAGCCUGCAGGAAAGUAGGCACGGCACAAAGUUCAAGAUGAAAUCUGUAGGAUCAUUGUGGUUUUUUUGGUUGGUUGUUUCUUUGUUUGUUUUUGUUUAAGCAUUUAUCUGUGAAAUCAAACAACUUGUACAGUUAUUUACUGAGACAGGUGUCCGGUAGCCCAGAACCUUGGCACAGUCAACUUCCAAUAGUCCUGUCCAACAUACCUAACUAACAACUUGUAUUCUUAAGACGUUUCUUAGACAACCUUUUACUGUUUUAGGAAGAAAGUGUGUUUUAUUGAUAUGCUAAACAUCUUUUUCCUGACUAAUUUAUAUGAAAGUUUGUGAAUAGAUCUAGGGUGCUUUUUGUCCUGCAAACGGUUACUGAUAUGUCAAUUUAAUGCCUGAAAUCA